rnacentral:sRNA from 1 species
GCCAGGCAUGGUGGCGCAUACCUGUAAUACCAGCGGCUUGGGAGGCUGAGGCAGGAGGAUCACCUGUUCAAGCCAGCCUCUG